rnacentral:rRNA from 1 species
AUGCAGUUCCAGUCUGGCAACUGUGCCAAAACGUUGGCAAAAGUAGAUGGAUCUGGUGCAAAAGAUUUGUCAGUCGACCGAAGCACAUUUGGUUUUCCACAAGAUGCUAAUCAGGAAUAUUUUAACCGGGCUUGCCAGUACAGUUAUCCAGUUUCAACGCAAGGCUUUCAAGAUAAAGGAUUUGUACCAAGCGUUCCAGAUUUUGUUCUGAAUAAUGCUUCUGCUGCACUCAGGGAAUAUCAACAAUUUGACCACUUUUUCAGACCACUUCAGCCUCUAGCACCGGAUGGAAACCAGGUGCAAAAUAUUGGCAUAAAUACCGCACAUCGCAGUAGACCUUCUAAUGCAUCCUCCUGCCUUGAUCAUGUAGAAGAAAUAACUUCUCAUGACACGGACGGUUAUGACGACAGAGCUAUCUCAUUUGGGAGUAGCUGCAGCACAGGAAUUGCGUGUUAUCCAUAUAGCAGCCCUAUGCAAAGCGAUGACUGCAUUGCAGACACGCAGGAUGGGACCUGGGCUGCUCUUAUGCAAAUGCAACAGGCUUUGGAGGCGGCUAAUGAAGAGUGCAGUGACUUGACUUUCAAUAACACAGAACUUUCAGGUGGGAAUACCAUGCAGCAUCAAAUUGUUUGGGACAAUGGCUGUUUAGCAAGUCCAUCUUUCACCUCAAACUUUUUACCCUUCCCUGGAGAGGCUGAAACCACGGUCACAAAUACCAGCGAUAUGUAUAACUUACAUAACUCUGCUGAUCUCCUGUAUGAUAAUGAUCAAGACAUAUCAUCUUUUGAGCUCAAAGUGAAUGAACAGAAAGAAGCAACCACAAGCCAUGUUUGUGAACAUCGAGGUGAAAUGCAUUCUGCUGAACAGGGGGGAUAUCCUGGCCACGACGAAUCUUUUGAUUUGACAAUAAGCCAGGACAGACAGUUCAGUUCAUUUGUUAAUGGUGCAGAUGGAUCUGUAGAUAGUGAAAUGAACCUUUAUGAUUGUGAAGAGCAAAUGGAAAUUGAUUCACUCCUAAAUUCAUUUGGAGCAUCAAGUGAUACCUUUGCACAGACAUAUGAAAUGUUACAGAAAGGUGAAAAUAUUGUUGACCUUGAAAAAAAGGCUAAAUUAGCGGAAAGCAUUUCUGCUACAUUCAUCACUAAUACUGUCCCAUAUAUUACACAAGCUGGGGCGACUGAGUCAACUGUCUCUGAUGGAUCUUCUUGGACUCAACAAUAUCAAUCUACUUCCCAGUCAUGUGGUUUAUCUUAUUCUUCAGCUUCUCAAUGGGAAACCAUGCCAGGCGUGGAUGGUCAAAGGAGCCACCUAUACCGCGACGAAGCACUGGCAACCCAAGGUGUAUGGGCGGCACAUCCUGGUACGAUGGUACACUCUUCAACUGAUACUGGAUAUUCAGAUGUACAGCCGCCCAUGACACAGACUACUACUGUUCCGCUGCCUGCUCCGAGCUUGUCCAAGGGCCCCAACUCAUUAUUUACUGGAACAGAGCUUAACAAGGUUGACCUACAUGAUACAGGUAUGCAGAUGCCUUUGACACAGACUACUGUUCAGCUGCCUGCUCCGUGCUUGUCCAAGGACCCCAACUCAUCAUUUAUUGGAGCAGAGGUUCAGAAGGUUGACCAAAAUCAUUCAGAUACGGAGCUUCCCUUGACACAGACUAGUCAUGUUCAGCUGCCUGCUAUGAACUUGUCCGAGUACCCGACCUCGUCAUUUGUUGGAGGAACAAAGCUUAAAAAAGUUGACAAACAUGAUUCAUAUAUGCAGCUUCCCAUGACACAUGCUAGUCAUGUUCCGCUGCCUGCUACGAGCUUAUCCGAGGAUCCGAAAUCAUCAUUUAUUGGAGGAACAGAGCUUAAGGAAGUUGACAAACAUGAUUCAGACAUGCAGCUUCCCAGGAUACAGGCUAGUCAUGUUCCGCUGCCUGCUGUGAGCUUGUCCGAGGAACCGAACUCAUCCUUUAUUGGAGGCACAGAGCUUAAGGAAGUUCAUAAACAUGAUUCAGAUAUGCCGCUUCCCAUGACACGGGCUAGUCAUGUUCCGCUGCCUGCUGUGAGCUUAUCUGAGGACACGAAAUCAUCAUUUAUCGCAGGAGCAGAGCUUAAGGAAGUUGACAAACAUGAUUCAGAUACGCCGCUUCCCAUGGCACAGGCUAGUCAUGUUCCGCUGCCUACCAUGAGCUUACCUGAGGACACGAAAUCGUCAUUUAUUGGAGGAACAGAGCUUAAGGAAGUUGACAGACAUGAUUCAGAUAUGCAGCAUCCCAUGACACCGGCUAGUCAUGUUCUGCUGCCUGCUGUGAGCAUGUCCAUGGAUCCAGAAUCAUCAUUUACUGGAGGUACAGAGCUUAAGGAAGUUGGCAAACAUGAUUCAGAUAUGCAGCUUCCCAUGACGCAGACUGUUCAUGUUCAGCUGCCUACUCCGAGCUUGUCCAAGGACUCCGAGUCGUCGUUUGUUGGAGGUACAGAGCUUAAGGAAGUCGACAAACAUGAUUCAGAUAUGCAGCCUCCCAUGACGCAGGCUAGUCAUGUUCCGCUGCCUGCUGUGAGCUUGUCCGAGGACCCGAACUCAUCCUUUAUUGGAGGUACAGAACUUAAGGAAGUCGGCAAACAUGAUUCAGAUAUUCAGCUUCCCAUGACACAGACUGUUUGUGUUCAGCUGCCUGCUAUGAACUUAUCCGAGGAUCCGAAAUCAUCAUUUAUCAAAGGAACAGAGCUUAAGGAAGUUGGCAAACAUGAUUCAGAUAUACCGCUUCCCGUGGCACAGGCUAGUGAUGUUCCCCUGCCUACCAUGAGCUUACCCGAGGACACGAAAUCAUCAUUUAUUGGAGGAACAGAACUUAAGGAAGUUGACAAACAUGAUUCAGAUAUGCAGCCUCCCAUAACACUGGCUAGUCAUGUUCCACUGCCUGCUGUGAGCUUGUCCGAGGACCCAAAAUCAUCAUUUUCUGGAGGUACAGACCUUAAGGAAGUUGGCAAACAUGAUUCAGAUAUGCAGCUUCACAUGACGCAGACUGUUCGUGUUCAGCUGCAUGCUCCGAGCUUGUCCAAGGACUCUGAGUCGUCAUUUGUUGGAGGAACAGAGCUUAAGGAAGUCGACAAACAUGAUUCAGAUAUGCAGCCUCCCAUAACGCAGGCUAGUCAUGUUCCGUUGCCUGCUGUGAGCUUGUCCAAGGACCCGACCUCAUCCUUUAUUGGAGGUACAGUGCUUAAGGAAGUUGGCAAACAUGAUUCAGAUAUUCAGCUUCCCAUGACACAGACUGUUCGUGUUCAGCUGCCUGCUAUGAGCUUAUCCGAGGAUCCGAAAUCAUCAUUUAUCAGAGGAACAGAGCUUAAAGAAGUUGACAAACAUGAUUCAGAUAUACCGCUUCCCAUGGCACAUGCUAGUCAUGUUCCACUGCCUACCGUGAGCUUACCCGAGGACACGAAAUCGUCAUCUAUUGGAGGAACCGAGCUUAAGGAAGUUGACAAACACGAUUCAGAUAUGCAGCCUCCCAUAACACCGGCUAUUCAUGUUCCGCUGCCUGCUGUGAGCUUGUCCGAGGACCCGAAAUCAUCAUUUACUGGAGGUACAGAGCUUAAGGAAGUUGGCAAACAUGAUUCAGAUAUGCAGCUUCCCAUGACGCAGACUGUUCGUGUUCAGCUGCCUGCUCUGAGCUUGUCCAAGGACCCCGACUCGGCAUUUGUUGGAAGAACAGAGCUUAAGAAGGUUGGACAACUUGAUUAUAGCCACGUUGGAUUUCCUCAGGAAAGUAUCCUGCUCUCAGCAAGCAAACCUUCACACCCAAGCGGUUUGCCAGUUAUGAAGUUUGAUGACGAGGUGGGUUCACGGUCUAAGAAGCGGAAAAGGUCAACAGCAGAUGUUUUAGCAUCGCAUGCACAAGCCAUGUUCGAGGGUGGGAGACUGCAAUGUAGAAGGACACCUGAGUUGGCUUGGGCCGAUUCCACAUUGACUGAGAAGGUUGACGGUGAAAAAGCAAUGACGGAAAAUAGCACCUUCGUUUCUCGAGCUCGGAGAAGACUUACUUUAACGACCAGCUUGAUUCAGUGUCUCCUUCCUGCUCUGUCAGCGAGACUUCUUGCAGCAAAAGUUGCUGAUUGCGGUGAAGCCAUUGUGUACCACAUUUGUAAACUGAUGCUCAGUGAUAUAUCUGACCCAGUUCAACCUUUUGCCAGCGACACCAAUAACUUCAUGCAAAGUGAAAACAUGCCACCGAACGAGACAAGCACCUCCGGAAAGGAGGAGGACUGUAAACUCUUAUCUGAGGUUCUGGAAACCUUCGAUGCGAGGCUUGACGGGCUACAAGGCUCCUUGUCAAGAGUCGAGAAGUUGCCCAGCUUCCAGGACUACGCGUCGGCGCUACACCAAAUCGAGCAGUGGGCCAUGACCCAUCAGUUCAUAAAGCUGAACGAAUACAAGAGACUGCACGCCGGCUACGGCUCUGGUCCUAAAAGGCCUCUCUGCGUCGGAGCCAUCCGGAAGCAUGCCGGAGGUUCUUCCGCUCCGGUCUCAGAGCUGAAAAGGGUCCGGUGUCGCUCACUGAAGUAG